rnacentral:rRNA from 1 species
GCAGUCGAACGGCAGCAUAGGUGCUUGCACCUGAUGGCGAGUGGCGAACGGGUGAGUAAUGCAUCGGAACGUGCCCAAUCGUGGGGGAUAACGCAGCGAAAGCUGUGCUAAUACCGCAUACGAUCUACGGAUGAAAGCGGGGGACCUUCGGGCCUCGCGCGAAUGGAGCGGCCGAUGUUAGAUUAGGUAGUUGGUGAGGUAAAGGCUCACCAAGCCGACGAUCUAUAGCUGGUCUGAGAGGACGACCAGCCACACUGGAACUGAGACACGGUCCAGACUCCUACGGGAGGCAGCAGUGGGGAAUUUUGGACAAUGGGCGAAAGCCUGAUCCAGCAAUACCGCGUGCAGGAAGAAGGCCUUCGGGUUGUAAACUGCUUUUGUACGGAACGAAAAGGCUCUUUCUAAUAAAGAGGGCUCAUGACGGUACCGUAAGAAUAAGCACCGGCUAACUACGUGCCAGCAGCCGCGGUAAUACGUAGGGUGCGAGCGUUAAUCGGAAUUACUGGGCGUAAAGCGUGCGCAGGCGGUUUUGUAAGACAGGCGUGAAAUCCCCGGGCUCAACCUGGGAAUUGCGCUUGUGACUGCAAGGCUAGAGUACGGUAGAGGGGGGUAGAAUUCCGCGUGUAGCAGUGAAAUGCGUAGAUAUGCGGAGGAACACCGAUGGCGAAGGCAGCCCCCUGGACCUGUACUGACGCUCAUGCACGAAAGCGUGGGGAGCAAACAGGAUUAGAUACCCUGGUAGUCCACGCCCUAAACGAUGUCAACUGGUUGUUGGGAAUUUACUUUCUCAGUAACGAAGCUAACGCGUGAAGUUGACCGCCUGGGGAGUACGGCCGCAAGGUUGAAACUCAAAGGAAUUGACGGGGACCC